rnacentral:rRNA from 1 species
GACGAACGCUGGCGGCGUGCUUAACACAUGCAAGUCGAACGGAAAGGCCCCUUUGGGGGUACUCGAGUGGCGAACGGGUGAGUAACACGUGAGUAACCUGCCCUUGACUUCGGGAUAACUUCAGGAAACUGGGGCUAAUACCGGAUAGGAAUCCUUGCUGCAUGGUGGGGGUUGGAAAGCUUCGGCGGUUUUGGAUGGACUCGCGGCUUAUCAGCUUGUUGGUGGGGUAGUGGCUUACCAAGGCUUUGACGGGUAGCCGGCCUGAGAGGGCGACCGGCCACAUUGGGACUGAGAUACGGCCCAGACUCCUACGGGAGGCAGCAGUGGGGAAUAUUGCACAAUGGGCGGAAGCCUGAUGCAGCAACGCCGCGUGCGGGAGGACGGCCUUCGGGUUGUAAACCGCUUUCAGCAGGGGCGAAGCUUGUGGUGACGGUGCCUGCAGAAGAAGCACCGGCUAACUACGUG